GGGAUCCCGGGAGGGUCCGCUUCCGGGGACCCCAGCGCGCAGAGAUAAGUCCAUUUGUACCAUUUUAUAGAUUCCACAUUCCCAGAGAAGUUGUUGUUUUAC